rnacentral:rRNA from 1 species
UACGGAGGGGGCUAGCGUUGUUCGGAAUUACUGGGCGUAAAGCGCGCGUAGGCGGACCUCAAGUCGGGGGUGAAAGCCCGAGGCUCAACCUCGGAACUGCCUUCGAUACUGCGGGUCUCGAGUCCGGGAGAGGUGAGUGGAAUUCCUAGUGUAGAGGUGAAAUUCGUAGAUAUUAGGAAGAACACCAGUGGCGAAGGCGGCUCACUGGCCCGGUACUGACGCUGAGGCGCGAAAGCGUGGGGAGCAAACAGG